rnacentral:rRNA from 1 species
GCUGGCGGCGCGCCUAACACAUGCAAGUCGAGCGAGAACCAGGGCUUCGGCCCUGGGGACAGCGGCGAACGGGUGAGUAACACGUGGAUAACCUGCCCUCGGCACCGGAAUAGCCCGGGGAAACUCGGAUUAAUGCCGGAUAGCCCCACAUCCCUGCGGGGAACGUGGGAAAAGGUAGCUUCGGCCUCUGGCCGAGGAUGGGUCCGCGGUGGAUUAGCUUGUUGGCGGGGUAACGGCCCACCAAGGCGACGAUCCAUAGCUGGUCUGAGAGGACGAUCAGCCACACUGGGACUGAGACACGGCCCAGACUCCUACGGGAGGCAGCAGUGGGGAAUCUUGCGCAAUGGGCGAAAGCCUGACGCAGCGACGCCGCGUGCGGGAAGAAGGCCUUCGGGUUGUAAACCGCUUUCAGGAGGGACGAAGCCACUCGGGUGAAUAGCCCAGAGGGUGACGGUACCUCCAGAAGAAGCCCCGGCUAACUACGUGCCAGCAGCCGCGGUAAUACGUAGGGGGCAAGCGUUGUCCGGAUUCAUUGGGCGUAAAGAGCGUGUAGGCGGCCAGGUAGGUCGGUUGUGAAAACUGGAGGCUCAACCUUCAGACGUCGACCGAAACCAUCUGGC